AACGAACGCUGGCGGCAUGCCUAACACAUGCAAGUCGAACGAUUGCCUUCGGGUGAUAGUGGCGCACGGGUGCGUAACGCGUGGGAAUCUGCCCUUAGGUUCGGAAUAACAGCUGGAAACGGCUGCUAAUACCGGAUGAUAUCGCGAGAUCAAAGAUUUAUCGCCUGAGGAUGAGCCCGCGUUGGAUUAGGUAGUUGGUGGGGUAAAGGCCUACCAAGCCGACGAUCCAUAGCUGGUCUGAGAGGAUGAUCAGCCACACUGGGACUGAGACACGGUCCAGACUCCUACGGGAGGCAGCAGUGGGGAAUAUUGGACAAUGGGCGCAAGCCUGAUCCAGCAAUGCCGCGUGAGUGAUGAAGGCCCUAGGGUUGUAAAGCUCUUUUACCCGGGAAGAUAAUGACUGUACCGGGAGAAUAAGCCCCGGCUAACUCCGU
rnacentral:rRNA from 1 species